CCUACGGGUGGCAGCAGUGAGGAAUAUUGGUCAAUGGACGAGAGUCUGAACCAGCCAAGUAGCGUGAAGGAUGACUGCCCUAUGGGUUGUAAACUUCUUUUAUAUGGGAAUAAAAUGUUCCACGUGUGGGAUUUUGUAUGUACCAUAUGAAUAAGGAUCGGCUAACUCCGUGCCAGCAGCCGCGGUAAUACGGAGGAUCCGAGCGUUAUCCGGAUUUAUUGGGUUUAAAGGGAGCGUAGGUGGAUUGUUAAGUCAGUUGUGAAAGUUUGCGGCUCAACCGUAAAAUUGCAGUUGAAACUGGCAGUCUUGAGUACAGUAGAGGUGAGCGGAAUUCGUGGUGUAGCGGUGAAAUGCUUAGAUAUCACGAAGAACUCCGAUUGCGAAGGCAGUUCACUGGACUGCAACUGACACUGGGGCUCGAAAGUGUGGGUAUCAAACAGGAUUAGAUACCCGGGUAGUC
rnacentral:rRNA from 1 species